rnacentral:rRNA from 1 species
CCGAGACUCAGUGAAAUUGAACUCGCUGUGAAGAUGCAGUGUACCCGCGGCAAGACGGAAAGACCCCGUGAACCUUUACUAUAGCUUGACACUGAACAUUGAGCCUUGAUGUGUAGGAUAGGUGGGAGGCUUUGAAGUGUGGACGCCAGUCUGCAUGGAGCCGACCUUGAAAUACCACCCUUUAAUGUUUGAUGUUCUAACGUUGACCCGUAAUCCGGGUUGCGGACAGUGUCUGGUGGGUAGUUUGACUGGGGCGGUCUCCUCCUAAAGAGUAACGGAGGAGCACGAAGGUUGGCUAAUCCUGGUCGGACAUCAGGAGGUUAGUGCAAUGGCAUAAGCCAGCUUGACUGCGAGCGUGACGGCGCGAGCAGGUGCGAAAGCAGGUCAUAGUGAUCCGGUGGUUCUGAAUGGAAGGGCCAUCGCUCAACGGAUAAAAGGUACUCCGGGGAUAACAGGCUGAUACCGCCCAAGAGUUCAUAUCGACGGCGGUGUUUGGCACCUCGAUGUCGGCUCAUCACAUCCUGGGGCUGAAGUAGGUCCCAAGGGUAUGGCUGUUCGCCAUUUAAAGUGGUACGCGAGCUGGGUUUAGAACGUCGUGAGACAGUUCGGUCCCUAUCUGCCGUGGGCGCUGGAGAACUGAGGGGGGCUGCUCCUAGUACGAGAGGACCGGAGUGGACGCAUCACUGGUGUUCGGGUUGUCAUGCCAAUGGCACUGCCCGGUAGCUAAAUGCGGAAGAGAUAAGUGCUGAAAGCAUCUAAGCACGAAACUUGCCCCGAGAUGAGUUCUCCCUGACUCCUUGAGAGUCCUGAAGGAACGUUGAAGACGACGACGUUGAUAGGCCGGGUGUGUAAGCGCAGCGAUGCGUUGAGCUAACCGGUACUAAUGAACCGUGAGGCUUAACCUU